rnacentral:rRNA from 1 species
GAGUUUGAUCCUGGCUCAGAGUGAACGCUGGCGGUAGGCCUAACACAUGCAAGUCGAACGGCAGCACAGAGGAGCUUGCUCCUUGGGUGGCGAGUGGCGGACGGGUGAGGAAUACAUCGGAAUCUACUCUGUCGUGGGGGAUAACGUAGGGAAACUUACGCUAAUACCGCAUACGACCUACGGGUGAAAGCAGGGGAUCUUCGGACCUUGCGCGAUUGAAUGAGCCGAUGUCGGAUUAGCUAGUUGGCGGGUAAAGGCCCACCAAGGCGACGAUCCGUAGCUGGUCUGAGAGGAUGAUCAGCCACACUGGAACUGAGACACGGUCCAGACUCCUACGGGAGGCAGCAGUGGGGAAUAUUGGACAAUGGGCGCAAGCCUGAUCCAGCCAUACCGCGUGGGUGAAGAAGGCCUCGGUG